UAGAUAAUCCCUCCGUCCGGAAAUACUUGUCCUAGAAAUGAAUAAAAUGGAUGUACCUAUAACUAAAAUAAGUCUAGAUACAUCCAUUUGUAAGACAAGUAUUUCCGGACGGAGGGAGUAUAAG
rfam:Hordeum vulgare subsp. vulgare, WGS project CAJW01000000 data, contig: morex_contig_140289